rnacentral:rRNA from 1 species
CAGCAGCCGGGGAAAACGAAGGGGGCUAGCGUUGCUCGGAAUGACUGGGCGUAAAGGGCGCGUAGGCGGAUUGUUUAGUUAAGCGUGAAAUUCCUGGGCUUAACCUGGGGACUGCAUCCGGUACGUGCAGGCUUGAGUGCGGAAGAGGGUCGUGGAAUUCCCAGUGUAGAGGUGAAAUUCGUAGAUAUUGGGAAGAACACCAGUGGCGAAGGCGGCUCACUGGCUCAUACUGGACGCUGAGGUGCGAAAGCGUGGGGAGCAAACAGGAUUAGAUACCCCAGUAGUCCCUGUCUCUUAUACU